GGGGGAUUAGCUCAGUUUGGCUAGAGCGCUUGAUUUGCAUUCAAGAGGUCAUCGGUUCGACUCCGAUAUUCUCCA
rnacentral:tRNA from 4 species